CUUCACAGACCAGAAGUCGAAGGACAGAAGGAGGAGCACGGUGACGAAGCAGCCCACAAAGCUUCUGCUGAACCAGUCGCAGCCCACGCUGUGGUUUCCUGAAAUAAAACACAGAAAAAAUUCCAAUUGUUGGAAAGUUCUGCUUAGUUGGGAGGUGAAUGGAUAAACUGUGGCACAUCUAUACAAUGGAAUAUUACUCAGCACUGAAAAGAAAUGAGCCAUCAAGCCAGGAGAAGUCAUGGAGGAACCUUAAGUGCAUAUGACUAAGCUAAGGAAGCCAGUCUGGGAAGACUACACACUGUUUGAUUCCAGCUAUAUGACAUUCUGGAAAAGACUAAACUAUGGAGACAGUAAAAAAGAGACAUCCCAACCUUAGAGGCUAAAUAUGCUCAGGCUGCAAAAUGAAAGUGAACCCCAGGGACAAGUCAGUGGGCCCCUGGUCACGUGGCCCAGGCUGGACCCUGUGUGGAACCCUAUAUCCUCUGCCCAGAGCACCCGGUGAUCCCCACCCAGGCCACACCCUCCUGCUGCUGCUGGACUCAGGGACCAGAUUCCUUAGCUAAAGACCAAGAGUUUUUGAGUACAUGCUCAGAGUAGCACCAUUUACAGUCACUAAAAGGUAGAAACAGCCCAAAUGCUCAUCAACAGAUUUCUUCGGCUCACGGAUGAAGACAGAAUGAUAGAAUUAGAAUGCCCCCAUGAUGCACCCCCCCAAUGUUAAAGAGUAGCAGCUGAGGACACCCAGGCAUUAGGAGCUCCCUGAUGGAAGAACACACUAGAACCAUCCAGCCCAGCUGCUCCCAGACCCUGACCUUUAGGCUCAGUGGAGGAGACUUGGGGUUACUAACUGAGGGAGAGAAAGAGAGCAGAGCAGCCAAGGACUGACUUUCCAGAAGGCCGGAGAGGAAGUCAGCUGGCAGGAAGGUACGCAGAGCAGGUGACACCCUGGAGAGGCUGAAGGAGAAAUAACAGCCUGGAAAAAUGUUCCAAGCCCCUGGGAGCACAGCAGGAUCUCACAGCAGGAGCCUUUCACACUCAACACCCGCUGAGUCAGCAUGUUCCCUUAGAGAACCUCAAGUCCCGGCCCUUCCUUUGUUUGAGUUCCCUGGGGAUGCUGAUGAAGGUGAGACUUUCUGGGAAUGCAGACCUGAGACCUGCAUCUGGGACCCUGCCUUCCACCACCUCUCUCCAACCUCAGAAGCCCCAGACCGGCCCCUGGAAGAAUCUGGACAAAGGAGGGACAGUCUCCCGCUCCAAGGACAACCCCAGCUCGACGUCCUGCUCCAGCCGAGGACGUGCCUCUGCCCCAAGGACACAGAAGUCCCACUUGGGGUCAGAUA